GGACCACACCAUCUGCGCAGCCUGCACCCUCGCGGCCCGGUAAACUUGACAGUUUCUUAUAGAGCACAGAAGCCGUGGUGGUGUCAUGGAAUAUUGUCAAUUUCGGUUACAUUUCAUCAUGGUCAAGUCAACUCCAGGAGGCAGCAUCAUGGACGAUUUGGCUUAUGUUCUGCUUUUGUCUUCUACAGAACCUUGUGUCUCACUGUUGUCUCCUUCCUGGCUGGGGUUAUCACAUGGCAUAUCCAACUGAUUCCAUGGAAAGCUUGUGUUUACCCUCAAUAGUUAGAGACGUACAAGGAUGGAGAGGGAACAGAGCCAUCUUCCCAGAACCAACUUCUGCCAGAGGAGUCCCAUGAUAAUCCCAGCCAAAAGAACGAAAACAUGAGUAAUGGCUGUGACAUAAGAAAAUCCUAAGAGAGAAAACAGAGAAAAAGUUUUACGUGAGCGCCACAUUCCAGUUUGCAGAGUUAAGAUAGAUGAGGACAUUCAUUAAAUUCAUGUAUUAAUUCUAAUUCAAGAUGCACUGAAUUUCCAUCAUGUGAAUCAGAUGUUUUAUUUAUUUCUCUCUCAUUGUAUGGAUAAUGUCUAUAACUAGAGAAUGAGACUCAAUCCUACCUUUUCUUCCAAACUGUCUAUCUUCACUAGGGUGGAGUUCUUGUCUAUGCAGUCCUUUCUACUGUUAGCCCAGGUUUUCUCCUCAUUUGUUGUAAAAUAGUAGCAACUAUUUUGGUACCAUUGCCACAUCUUAGGACAUGGAUUACAUCUGUGGUCUGAAAAGGAAA
ensembl:lncRNA novel transcript